AUGAACGCUGGCGGCGUGCCUAAUACAUGCAAGUCGAGCGAACGGACGAGAAGCUUGCUUCUCUGAUGUUAGCGGCGGACGGGUGAGUAACACGUGGAUAACCUACCUAUAAGACUGGGAUAACUUCGGGAAACCGGAGCUAAUACCGGAUAAUAUUUUGAACCGCAUGGUUCAAAAGUGAAAGACGGUCUUGCUGUCACUUAUAGAUGGAUCCGCGCUGCAUUAGCUAGUUGGUAAGGUAACGGCUUACCAAGGCAACGAUGCAUAGCCGACCUGAGAGGGUGAUCGGCCACACUGGAACUGAGGCACGGUCCAGACUCCUACGGGAGGCAGCAGUAGGGAAUCUUCCGCAAUGGGCGAAAGCCUGACGGAGCAACGCCGCGUGAGUGAUGAAGGUCUUCGGAUCGUAAAACUCUGUUAUUAGGGAAGAACAUAUGUGUAGGUAACUGUGCACAUCUUGACGGUACCUAAUCAGAAAGCCACGGCUAACUACGUG
rnacentral:rRNA from 1 species